ensembl:lncRNA
UAAUAGACAUGUAGUUGCAAAUUAACGAUAAUUAUUUGACAUGUAGUUACAAAGUUACUUAUAGUUAGUAGAAUGUCUAAAGUGGACUAUUAAAAUAAAGUAACCAAGACGAUUAACUACUGUUAUUCCUGUUAAUUAUACAAAUAACUCUUAAAACUGAUCAGAGAUCAGGUAAAAACCAUAAAAACUUGUUCAGUGGCUGGCCACAAGGGGGUGAUCUCUUAAUCCGCAUGAUUCAUGUGUAACCCAGGUCACUAACAAGAUCACUAGUAAUUAAUAAAUAUUUUAUUUUUAUUAAUAUAUCUUUAGUAUUUAUAUAAAAAAUGCAGAUUGAAGUUAGUUUACAUUUAUAUUAUAAAGCUAGAAAAAGGAAAUCGCUAAAGUUGAGUAGUGAGGUGAGAGGUUAGUCCCGCCCCCCUGCAAAAAGUUAGCGCACAAGCAGUCAGAACGAGAGUGAACUUGAACGAGAGAAGACGCAGUUGCGAAUGAGAAAUGUUAUGAGAAUCAUUUGAGUAAUCAGACAUAGAUGAUUAACAAGUUUAAAAUAUAAAUCGUUGAUAUAUAACUUUUAGAAGCUCACGGUUUGAAAAUAGUAGUUUGAACUGAAGUUAGAACGGGAUGUGAUGAGACGGACGCAAGAGAUUUAAUCAACAUCUUUUCCGGGGAGAAACUAUUUUAUUUUUGUUUUCUGAUUUAUACUUCUCCUUGGCCGGGUUUUUUUUUUCUUUCUUUCUUUCUUUGCUGAAGAAUUGUGUUCCUGAAUCCUGUCCUUGCCGAGUAUUCAUAUUCUGGUUUGGACUGGCGAGCCAUCCCACCAACUCGUACCUGAAACAAAGAAAGGAGUGUGAAAUCUGCCGAACUGGUAGGAUCAAACUAUUUUUUUUUUUUUGCUUUGAGUUUUUCUUUUUUUCAAGUUUUUAAUGCUGCCUGGAUCUUCAGUGGAUCAACCAUUGUUUUUUUUUCCUCUCCUGGAUUAAAUUUUUCCACCUUUGAUGAACAUUGUUUUAUAUUUUUUGAAUUUGAAAUAGAGACACUGAUCUUAAACUGAAACUCAACUGGACAUUAAGACUGAGUUUGAACGGAAAGACUGAAGCCUAUUGUGAAACGGAUUUUAAACUUUUAAAAUCUGAAUGCCUUUGAGGAACUAAAUUCAAAACUGAGACACUGAUUUUGGAAUUUAGUGUGUGGAAAUCAUUAUUAAUGUCUGUGUUCGGAAUCUGAACCUUGAUUUGGGUUUUUGAAUUUUCAUACUAAUAGUAGGACCCCGUUACACAUGGCUUCCCAGAAAUCAUUGCCCACAACAAAUUUCAAAACUGUUAUGAUGCAAUGAAGCCUUGUUUACGGAAAUCACAUGACUUUGGUGGUUUGAUACACUCUCUUAACCACUGAUUCAAAACUAAUUCAUAAAGGUUUCGAACGCGGAACGAUUGAUUGUCUUCUGCUAAUUCACAUCUGCAUGCUAGUGGCGCCAACCAACAAUGCAUUUUUCCUCAGAUAAGCAUCUCAUAUAUGGAUUUAACAUCAUCUGCUGCUCAAUAUACAGCAUUACAUUAAGAUAAAGUUUGGUUCUACGCCAGAAACACAAACUAUUUAUAAUGCUUACAGGAAUACACCCUAAAAUAUAAUUAGAGGUACAAUUAGCAUCAAGCUACACUUAAAAAUGUAUGUAAUUAUUAAUGUUUUUGCUUAAAACCCACUGUAAACCAUCACUGAGUGCUUGUAAUAACUUCCUAUUG